GUUGUUGCUGUUGCUGUUGUUGAUGGGAAAUUUCAAUUAGGCGCGAAUCAACGCAAAAGCAAGGCUAUGUGUUGCUUUGCGAGACGCGACCCACAAAUCCAUCAACAACCUUACCGGGGCAGGAGGAGGGGGCACCAGCACAUAGCCAGUUACCCAAAGGAUAACAUCCGCUGCCGGAUGUGACCUGCACUUCAAUCUAAACUCAGCUCAGCUCAACUCAACUGCAACCCGCUGUUUACGCUGUUACCGAAAUGUUAAUUAAACUUAUGAAAUGAUGCCCUGUUUUUUAUAUGCCUUA